rnacentral:rRNA from 1 species
AUUGAACGCUGGCGGAAUGCUUUACACAUGCAAGUCGAACGGCAGCACGGGGCAACCUGGUGGCGAGUGGCGAACGGGUGAGUAAUAUAUCGGAACGUGCCCAAUCGUGGGGGAGUAACGUAGCGAAGUUACGCUAAUACCGCAUACGAUCUACGGAUGAAAGCGGGGGAGUCGCAAGACCUCGCGCGAAUGGAGCGGCCGAUAUCAGAUUAGGUAGUUGGUGGGGUAAAGGCUCACCAAGCCAACGAUCUGUAGCUGGUCUGAGAGGACGACCAGCCACACUGGAACUGAGACACGGUCCAGACUCCUACGGGAGGCAGCAGUUGGGGGAA